rnacentral:rRNA from 1 species
AAAUAAUGUGCUUGCACAUUAUUUAUUAGUGGCAAACGGGUGAGUAGCGCGUAGGAAUCUGCCUCUCGGUAGGGAAUAGCUUUGAGAAAUUAGAGGUAAUACCCUAUGAGUUUAUGCGAAUAAAGAAAGAUUUAUCGCCGAGAGAGGAGCCUGCGUCAGAUUAGGUAGUUGGUAGGGUAAUGGCUUACCAAGCCAGAGAUCUGUAGCUGGUCUGAGAGGAUGAUCGGCCACACUGGGACUGAGACACGGCCCAGACUCCUGCGGGAGGCAGCAGUGGGGAAUAUUGGACAAUGGGGGAAACCCUGAUCCAGCGAUGCCGCGUGAAUGAUGAAGGCCUUCGGGUUGUAAAAUUCUUUCACUUGUGAGGAUAUAAAGACAUUAGCAAGAUAAGAAGCUCCGGCUAACUUCGUGCCAGCAGCCGCGGUAAUACGAGGGGAGCUAGCGUUGUUCGGAAUUAUUGGGCGUAAAGGGUGCGUAGGCGGCUCUGUAAGUAUUGUGUAAAAUCCCUGGGCUCAACCUUGGGGUCGCGCAGUAGACUGCAGUGCUAGAAGGUGAUAGAGGAAAACGGAAUUUCUGGUGUAGAGGUGAAAUUCGUAGAUAUUAGAAGGAACGUCAGAGGCGAAGGCGGUUUUCUGGGUCACUAUUGACGCUGAGGCACGAAAGUGUGGGGAGCAAACAGGAUUAGAUACCCUGGUAGUCCACACUGUAAACGAUGAGUGCUAUACGUCGGAUUUAUAUUCGGUGUUGAAGCUAACGCAAUAAGCACUCCGCCUGAGGACUACGAUCGCAAGAUUAAAACUCAAAGGAAUUGACGGGGGCCCGCACAAGUGGUGGAGCAUGUGGUUUAAUUCGAUACUACGCGAAGAAACUUACCAGCCUUUGACAUAUUAAGUGUAGAACUUGGAAACUUGUUCUUUCGGGUUAAGCCGGCUUUUUACAGGUAUUGCAUGGCUGUCGUCAGCUCGUGUCGUGAGAUGUUGGGUUAAGUCCCGCAACGAGCGAAACCCCUUUCCUUUAUUGCCAGCAUUAGGUUGGGAACUUUAAGGAUACUGCCGGUUAUAAGCCGGAGGAAGGAUGGGAUGACGUCAAGUCCUCAUGGUCCUUAUGGGCUGGGCUACACACGUGCUACAAUGGCGAUUACAACGGGUUUUAAUCCUUAUAAAAUCGUCUCAGUUCGGAUUGUUCUCUGCAACUCGAGAGCAUGAAGUUGGAAUCACUAGUAAUCGCGGAUAAGCAUGUCGCGGUGAAUACGUAAACGGGCCUUGUACACACCGCCCGUCAAGCCAUGGGAAUUGGUUUUUCCUUAAAGUGAUCUGCUAACCCGUAAGGGGGGCGUUCAAAUAAGGUGGAGCUAGUGACUGGGGUUAAGUCGUAACAAGGUA